AUACCGUGAUGAGGGCUUUUUCGUAAUAAUUCCUUAAAUCGUUCCCAUGGAUCAUAUAAGGACUCAUCUACAGAUUGUUGAAACGUAAAAAGUUACCCAUUCU
rfam:Gossypium raimondii chromosome 2, whole genome shotgun sequence.